AAAACUAAAAAUAUGUCGCAGGGUGGACGGUGAGUGUGGGACGCCCUGAAACCCCUCUGUUUUGGAUGCUUCGAAACAGGUUUCUAUAGUUUUGGGAGGUGGAUGCUUGAGGACCUGAGCUGAGUGAGCGCAUCUCAACCAUCACUUUCAUCCUCUGCAAGUUCAGCGCAGACGACACACUUUCUCUGAGACGCCGUGAGCCAGCUGUCUCUUUGAAAUCACCAGGGAGUUAAGAAGUUAAUAUCGGAGGACAGUCUUUAAUGCAGGUCUUCGGGGCUGCGUUUAUGGACUGGUGAUUAGAGGGCAUAUAGACUACUAGAUGAGGGGGCAAAAAGGGGUUCAGGAACACAGGUGACAUGUCUUGUGCUAUCUCUCGCAUUUUUUAAUCUGCUUUUUCCCAGUGUUAGCAGCGCUGGGGGAAUGGUAGGAUUUUACACCCUGUUCAGAAUGUGUGCUUAUGAACUGAUGUGUGUGUAAACAUAAACACAGACUUACAUAGCAUGGGGAGAAGUAUUUGCAUGCAUUUUUAUUGUUUUCUUUACUUUAGAUAACUCUUUUGUCUCUGUAUAUUUUGUGUCUCAAUGCAGAUCACAUGUCACUUUUGUAUUUAUAUGUGAAAGGAUAAACUUUAUAUUUAAACAUAUAAAGUCACAUUGCAUUAAAGGGAUAGCUCAUCCAAAAAUGAAAACUCUCAUCAUUUACUAACCCUUUUCUGUUGAGGACAAAAGAAAAUAUUUUGAAGAAUGUUGGUAUUGACUUCCAUAGUAUGGAAAAAAGCCAUUGACUUCCAUAUAUAAAAAAAACUACUAUGGAAGUCAACUGUUUGGUUACCAACAUUCUUCAAAAUAUCUCCCACCCACCCCUCCAAAAAAUUGCAGAUUACUUACCCCCGUGCCGUUCCAAACCUGUAUGCCUUUAUUUCUUAUGCAGAACACAAUAGAAGUUUUGAAGAAUGUUGGUAUUGACAAAGAAGAGAGAAAAAAAAAAAACUCUGGAAGUCAAUGGCUACCAUUUGGUUACCAACAUGCUUCAAAAUAACUUCUUCCACCAUAUAUAUAUCACACGAGUAGAUGUGUCAUAUGGCUGUAUAUUGGCACAGCUGUGUUUCAGCCAUAGGUAAUCACAGUGUGCCGAUAUACAGCCAUAUCUCACAUCUAUGAGUGUGAUAUUAUGUUUAUACAAAAGUUUGAUGGAUACAAGUGUGUAAUUACAAGCAAAAUAACAACAGAGUGUCUUUAAAAGUGCUCUUUUGUGCAGAACCACUUCCUUCUGCCACAGCUUAAAGUAUAAAGUUGACAAUUUAACAGCUGAGCCCUAGCCUCCGUUACUAAUUCAAAAAUGUCACUUUAGAAUUAGUAACAAAGGAAUGUUGAGUUGCUUUAUUGAAAGCUUAUUGUAUUACUUUAUUAAAAGCUCACUGUAUUAUGUGUAGUAGAGUGUUAUAAGAGAGAGAUGGACUGGGUGAGUGUGAUUACCUGCAUCUGAUUCAUUCUUCAGAUCAGUCUCAUAUUCACAAUAACCAUUAGUUUGAAUAUCUGCUGAGGAAAGUGUUAUCUUUGUCGUAACAUUAAUAUCCUUUCAGUUCAUCAAUUUUGCUGCUCAGUGCAUUUAUUUGCUGCAUCAAGCUGUUGUUGAAACUAAAAAUAACUUUCUUUAAUGCUGACUCAUAAAAACAUUCUCUUUUCGCUGUCUAAUGACGGAACAAUGUAACUAAAAUCACCAACACGAACAUGCACCAUUUCUCAAUACUAAACAUUAUUAUUAAAAUACUAUUAUUUAUAUAAAAUAUUAUUUAUUGAAUAAUAAUAUUUAUUAAACAACAAAAACCAUCAUAAAAGUUGCUAAGCAAUUCAGUCAAAAGUAUAAAGGCAACGCUCUGAUAUACAGCAGCCAAAACUAUUCUCUAGAAUAAAUAACAGAUUAAUGAGAUCAAAGACUACUGUUAGAUUUACCCAUAACAAAUUAUAUCUCAUGUGUAACCACUACAGAGACAUCAGAGCCAGUGGUAAAUUCCAGAAGAUCUGACCGAGGUGAGGCACUCUCGGGCGGGUUCAUGAGAGCAGAAUGGCCGCUGACAAUCUGGAGCUCACAUGUCCGAAAACAUUGGUGCAAAUUUAUAAAUAUUGUUAUCUUUAUUAACAAACUGCAUAAUUUAACUAUAAACAAGUACAUUCUAUCCUAAAAACCUCUUAAAACUACAUUCCCUGACACAAAAACAGUAAUGUUUAUAAAAUGACAGAAUUUGGGCAUCCGCCACGACACUUGCUGUAAGAAGUACUGCAAGCGGAGUGAUACAAUUACAAACUGUGAAACGGCGGUUGGAGUUCUGAUAUCACUCUAAUAUCAGUUUCAUAUAUAUAUAUAUAUAUAUAUGAAGAGUUCAGAUGCAAAAGCCUCUAAAUCCAUCUGACGUUUUUCUUUAAAAUAAGCACUUUUCUCAGGCUCCUAUGAAUAGGUUUCUACCUAAGUACUGGUACUUCUGAUUGAGCUGAGGCUGGGAUUUAGUGAGUUUGAAGUAAAAAUAUUUGAUGGACGUAUACUAUGUGUCGAGAGCAUUCACUCAGUAUCAUUAUCUCUUUUUUGACUGUGGUGGCUUUUAGAGGGUUUUGCAUCUGAACUCUUCAUAUAUAUAUUCCAAAAAUCAAAAAAAAAAAAAAAAAAAAAAAAAAAAGACCUAUCAAAAUGUACUCACCCACAUUCUUAGGCAGAAUACAAAAGAAGGUAUUUUUGAAGAAUGUUUUGAAGAAUUCAAAGAGUUUUCAUUUUUGGGGUGACAAUAUUAAGAUUUCUUCCUCUUCAAUUUCUUAAAGCUUAUUGACAUCUUUACUACCUGUGCAAAGUAAGUAAAAUUGUAGAGCAGCAGCACUAGUUGCAGUAGAGAUUAAUUGUUUUACCCCUCUUGAUCCGCCAGCUCUUCCAUGUUCGUCUGCCAUGAGGCAGGCAUUCCAGUUUGGCUGCUGAAAGCUGGCCUCGCUGAACCGCGGGGUCAGCGCACCUCCAGUGCUACUCCAGCUUGCGCUUCAUCCUCUACCGCACCGGGGGCACCUGGCACCCCUCCCUACCAUGGCAGGCCAGAUCAAUGGUAAGAUCCAUUCGAGCAGAAUGACCGGAGGUCGGCAUCAAAGGCCCCCCGCUUGUCUCGCUGCCACCUGGAGCUCAGCUAGGGUCAUGGGCCGCCUGGGCCACCACUGCCUCCUCUUCUCUUCAGCUGGCUGGGUAUGCUGACUGGGACCCGGGCAGGGUACGAGCUGGCUCUGCCCUGGCCCAGCAGCCCACAUGGGGAGAGGGCCAGAGGUCAAGCCCAUCAGAGCACUUUGCUUCAUCUGAUGAGAGGAUCUGGUCUGGUUUUAAUGAGGCAACACUGAUUCCACAUCUCUUUACGCAUAUGAGCAGACCUAAUGUGUGGAUUGUAGUAGAUGUAAUGCUGUGAUUUUUCUUUCCAGUCGCAGGAUGCAGAGGAAGCAUCCAAGCUGUUUCCAGGUGUAUUUUAAUAUCAAAAUUAAAAUCACUUUAAAGAGGUCUCUGUUUUCACUUCAAAGCUUUGAGUUUGAAUGUCUCAAUGUCCAAAAAAACAACUGAAACAUUCUUCAAAAUAUCUUCUGUUUUUGUUCAGCUGAAGAAAGAAUGUCUGUGAUGACAAAUUGUCUUUUUUGUGUAAACUAUCACUUUAAUUCAAUUGACUGUGAGAUUUUAAAAUGUUAAUUUCAGCAAGCCAAUUAUUGUAGAACAUAUAUUUAUUCAUACAACGUUUCCCAUAUGAACACUGUGGCUCCCUUCAGCAAAAUGUUGGUCAUAUGGUGAAAGAACAGGCAAUUAUUUUCAUGCAGCUGUCAAUACUCUGAACAGGCUAAUACAGUCUAAUUAAAUGUCAUUUCUUGGGCCACUAAUGAAAAUGAACAACUCAGAGGGGUUUUUAAUAUCGCUGCGAAGCGCUUCGACUGCCGGAGCCCUGCAGUGGACGAAUUGAUCCUUCUAUGUCCCUUACUUGUGUGAUGAGGGAUGAAAGGGGACGCAAUGAGAGACACAGAGAGAAAGAGAGAAAAAAGGCAAGUUUGGCAAGUAGAGGAGUGAAGGGGGAGACAGAUGGCGUGAAGUCUGCAUCUCUUUGGCGUUGGGCUCAUGGCGCUAAAAUCCUCCCUCUCACACAUUCCAACAAAUCCAACCAGGAGGCUCAGGAGUAUGUUCCACUGCUCUCGAAAUGAAGCAUCUGACCAGGAUAGAGCCACGCGCACACACACUUUCUCACUGUCUCUCUCCCUCUUUCACACACGCGCACACAUACAUUCACACACUGUCAGUCACCCGUAACCUAUCCAGAAGUUUACAUUUUUAUUAGUAUGUCACCCGUUCCGGAGUUUAUUGGCUUGUUAAAAUAGGAUGCUUUGGGAGUUGGGGAAGAGAGAACAUGGGGCCAUGACUGGAAAUAUUGCAGUGGAGAAAAGGAGACCAAGUGCCAUUCAAGUGUAAAAUCUCAUUGAGUAAACAUGGGGCCAAGGCAUGGAAACAGAGUGCGUACAAUCCAUUCGCGGCAGAAGAAAUGAGCUUUGCAGUUAGUCACGCUAGCCACCACAUUAGCCUGUGCUCCUGAUAAGUUUCCUGCCAGUUAGUCCCCGCCAGUUUGGACUCACGUUGUACGUCUUUUUAAUUGGCGCCUUGAAAAUAAAAGUAUAUAAAGUUGAUCUGCUUGGCAUAUACAUGUGAUCUAUUAGUCAACCGAGCUUCUGUUCUGUGCCUCGCCAUGGUUUUACGAAGCAGCGAAGCUUUAUUUUAACCUAUCGCUAUAUUUUAUUUGUCAUUUAGCUGAAAUGUACCGCUAAUAGCUGUUGACAUAUAAAACGACCAUGUGUUCCUCCUGUCAGCCAGAUGCAAAAGGCACAGAUGGGCUUCUUUUUUUUUCCAAAUGGAGCUCUUGAUAGCAGACAAUUAAUGUGCCUUUGAUUGCGCUCUACAGUACUCUCCCAUUGAUUCUGGAAAAUGUAUUCAUUGAAGGCAUAUGAUCAGCCACGGAUGAAUCUUGUCAGAUGUGCCAAAUCACAAAUGAAACGCUUUAGUGCCUCUCCCUCCAACCUCCAGGGCUAAGAGCUCUUGCACGACACGCACGCGCACACGCGCGCUGGUUCUCUAUCUCUCCCUCGCUCGCUCUCUAGAUGGAUGGCUGAGUUCUGCCUUCUGUUUGCGCUGCCAUACUAAUGAAUGAGUCAGCUGGGAAUAUGUAAUACUGUGAAAAGGUCACCGGAGGCAUGUGUAUCACAUUACUGUUAAUGAUAAUAAAAAGAACAAUCUGUGCAAAUCCAUCUUUGAAGUCAUUUUUAUUCCUUCCUACUGUGAGUGAUUUUAUCUGUCAUUACUCUUCUCCUUUCUGUUGUGGGCUGGUGGAUAUGCAGGGAAAACGUACUGUAAAAAUGAUCACAGGAUUUGUCUCUCAUCGUAUCUGUUUCACUGAUCCACAGUUAUCGGACGAGCGUUGUAAUGAACAUGAGGAGCAUCGCCUUUGAAGCAGCAUUAUGCAAAAAAGUUUGUCCAAAAAUUAAAAUCAUUUACCCACCCUCAUGUUAUUUCAAACCUGUUUGACUUCUGCAGAACAUCUUGUUUGCGUACCAGAAGAACGCAAGUCUUCACAAUCUCAUUUUGGGGUGAACUGUCCCUUUAAAAUGAGAAAAAACUCAUUUGAAUCAAAGCAUUAAUUCAGACCAGGAGACCUUUUUCAUAACUGCAUCUUCAAGUAUGCCCAGAUGUAAUGGCUGUGCAUCCUCUUUGAACCGGCUGUAAUAAAUGUGUAAUAAAUGUGUAAUAAUA